rnacentral:rRNA from 1 species
GACGAACGCUGGCGGCGUGCUUAACACAUGCAAGUCGAGCGGUAAGGCCCUUUCGGGGGUACACGAGCGGCGAACGGGUGAGUAACACGUGGGUGACCUGCCCUUAGCUCUGGGAUAAGCCUGGGAAACUGGGUCUAAUACCGGAUAUGACUCCAUGACGCAUGUUGUGGGGUGGAAAGCCUUGUGCGGCUAGGGAUGGGCCCGCGGCCUAUCAGCUUGUUGGUGGGGUGAUGGCCUACCAAGGCGACGACGGGUAGCCGGCCUGAGAGGGCGACCGGCCACACUGGGACUGAGACACGGCCCAGACUCCUACGGGAGGCAGCAGUGGGGAAUCUUGCGCAAUGGGCGAAAGCCUGACGCAGCGACGCCGCGUGGGGAUGACGGCCCUCGGGUUGUAAACCUCUUUCAGCCCUGACGAAGCGAAAGUGACGGUAGGGGCGAGAAGAAGCACCGGCCAACUACGUGCCA